GAACGCUAGCGGCAGGCUUAAUACAUGCAAGUCGUGGGGCAGCAUGAGUAGCAAUACUUGAUGGCGACCGGCAAACGGGUGAGGAACACGUACACAACCUUCCUUCAAGCGGGGAAUAGCCCAGAGAAAUUUGGAUUAAUACCCCAUAAUAUAUUUGAUAAGGCAUCUUAUUAAUAUUAAAGCUUCGGCACUUGAUGAUGGGUGCGCGGCUGAUUAGAUAGUUGGCGGGGUAACGGCCCACCAAGUCUACGAUCAGUAGCUGAUGUGAGAGCAUGAUCAGCCACACGGGCACUGAGACACGGGCCCGACUCCUACGGGAGGCAGCAGUAAGGAAUAUUGGACAAUGGACGAAAGUCUGAUCCAGCCAUGCCGCGUGAAGGAUUAAGGUCCUCUGGAUUGUAAACUUCUUUUAUAUGGGACGAAAAAGGGCAUUCUUGUUCACUUGACGGUACCAUAUGAAUAAGCACCGGCUAACUCCGUG
rnacentral:rRNA from 1 species